UACGGAGGGGGCUAGCGUUGUUCGGAUUCACUGGGCGUAAAGGGUGCGUAGGUGGCCAGGUAAGUUUGGUGUGAAAGCUCGGAGCUUAACUCCGAAAAGUCAUUGAAUACUAUCUGGCUGGAGGGUCGGAGGGGAGACUGGAAUUCUCGGUGUAGCAGUGAAAUGCGUAGAUAUCGAGAGGAACACCAGUGGCGAAGGCGAGUCUCUGGACGACUCCUGACACUGAGGCACGAAAGCUAGGGGAGCAAACAGG
rnacentral:rRNA from 1 species